rnacentral:rRNA from 1 species
AGCAGCCGCGGUAAUUCCAGCUCCAAUAGCGUAUAUUAAAGUUGUUGCAGUUAAAAAGCUCGUAGUUGAAUUUCGGGGUUAGUAGAUUGGUCAUGCCUCUGGUAUGCACUGGUCUUACUGAUUCCUCCUUCCUGAUGAACCGUAAUGCCAUUAAUUUGGUGUUGCGGGGAAACUGGACUGUUACUUUGAAAAAUUAGAGUGUUUAAAGCAGGCUAACGCCUUGAAUACAUUAGCAUGGAAUAAUGAAAUAGGACGUUCGAUCUUAUUUUGUUGGUUUCUAGGAUUGACGUAAUGAUUAAUAGGGAUAGUUGGGGC